CCUGCGUAGUGACUUCUGCUCUCUGACUGGGGGACAGGCUGCUGGGUUUGGGUGAGGUUUCUCUUCUCCUGAUGUUUUAAAUGUUCUCAGAAUCCACAGGUAAAUCUUUGUCUACGGGAGAAAGCUCAAAAUAAACAAAAGAGAGAGCAGCUGGAACACUUGUGGAAGGACAUGGGCAGCGUGUGUGUGCAGGGCAGCACACUGGCAGGACCUGAUGCUUCUGCAAUGGGUCCCUCUGAGCUAAUACUAACACGAGGAACUCUCGAUGAAGAGCAAGAAGAGAGGGAGAGUGAUGCUGAUGGCAUUGACCAUGAAGGUAAGGGAAUGAGGUCUAAAAGCUGCCUCUCAAGAAAUCCCCUCUAUAUUUCAUGUCCUGGAUGGACUGUAAGGAGAGCCUAGAAAACAAGCAAACAUUCAGUCACCUGACGUGUCAGAAUCUGUAGCAGAAGCUCAACUGCAAUGGUCAGUGCAGGGAUAUCACUCUGUAACCUUUGUGAAAGUUCAAUUGUAAAUUUUCUAUUCAAGUAAUUAAUAGGUGUAUAACACACAUAAACCAGAGAACUCGUUAGGCUUGGGGCAUGCAGUGACCUCUGAACCUGAUUGAUGCACAGAUGUGUCCAUCAUCUUUUUGGCCUUACAGUUUCUGCCCCUGGCUCUCUUCCCUUUUCCUGUGACUGUGGUCUUGGAGCAAUCUUCUAAGUUGUUACAGUGUGAUUUUUCUCUUCUAUAGCUCACAGACUUAAUCUUCAUUCUUUCCCUGUUCCACUGAUGGGUAGGAUCACUUAUUUCCUUUGCCCUGUAAUGUAGCUGAAGAUGGAAUAGACUUUCUAUGUUGCUUUGGCUA